rnacentral:tRNA from 1 species
AAAAAUUUAGUUAAAAUAUAACGUUAACUUGUCAAGUUAAAAUUAUUAGAUUAAAAAUAAUUUUUG